GCUCAGGAUGAACGCGGCGGGCGUGCUUAAUACAUGCAAGUCGAACGGGGAGGAGCAAUCCUCCGAGUGGCGAACGGGUGAGUAACACGUUGGUGACCUGCCCCGAAAUGUGGGAUACCAGGCCGAAAGGCUUGCUAAUACCGCAUAGGCUGUGAGGGUUUAGAAGCCUCACAGUAAAGGCGAAAGUCGUUUCGGGCGGGGCCUGCGGCCCAUCAGCUCGUUGGUAGGGUAACGGCCUACCAAGGCGAUGACGGGUAGGGGACCUGAGAGGGUGGCCCCCCACAAUGGAACUGAAACACGGUCCAUACACCUACGGGUGGCAGCAGUAGGGAAUAUUGCUUAAUGGGCGCAAGCCUGAAGCAGCAACGCCGCGUGUGCGAUGAAGGCCUUCGGGUUGUAAAGCACUUUUAGCAGGGAAAAGGAAGGAUGGUACCUGCUGAAUAAGCCUCGGCUAACUACGUGCCAGCAGCCGCGGUAAAACGUAGGAGGCGAGCGUUAUCCGGAUUUACUGGGUGUAAAGCGCGUGCAGGCGGUCUGUUAAGUGGGAUGUGAAAGCUCCCGGCUCAACUGGGAGAGGUCGUUGCAGACUGGCAGACUGGAGAGCAGGAGAGGAAGGUGGAAUUCCGGGUGUAGUGGUGAAAUGCGUAGAUAUCCGGAGGAACACCAGUGGCGAAAGCGGCCUUCUGGACUGCAUCUGACGCUCAGACGCGAAAGCUAGGGUAGCAAACGGGAUUAGAGACCCCGGUAGUCCUAGCCGUAAACGAUGUGAACUUGGCGCCGGGCGGGUAAAACCGAUCGGUGCCGUAGUAAACGCGAUAAGUUCACCACCUGGGGACUACGGCCGCAAGGUAAAACUCAAAU
rnacentral:rRNA from 1 species